CGGUUGAUCCUACCGGAGACUACUGCUAUUGGGGUUCGGAGUAGCCAUGCUAGUCGACCCGAUUUAAAUCGGGGUGCUGACGCUCAGUAACACGUGGACAAUCUGCCCUCGGGUGGGGGAUAAACUCGGGAAACUGAGUAUAAUACCCCAUGGGUCCAGGCGGCUGGAAUGCGCCUGGGCUCAAAGCUCCGGCGCCCGAGGAUGAGUCCGCGGCCUAUCAGGUUGUAGUCAGGGUAAUGACCUGACUAGCCUUCGACGGGUACGGGCUGUGAGAGCAGUCGCCCGGAGAUGGACUCUGAGACACGAGUCCAGGCCCUACGGGGCGCAGCAGGCGCGGAAACUUCGCAAUGCGGGAAACCGUGACGAGGGAACCCCAAGUGCCUAUGCAAAGCAUAGGCUGUUUCCCAGCCUAAAAAGCUGGAAGAGUAAGGGCUGGGUAAGACCGGUGCCAGCCGCCGCGGUAACACCGGCAGCCCGAGUGGUAGUCGCUAUUAUUGGGCUUAAAGCGUUCGUAGCCGGUUUGGUAAAUCCUUGGGUAAAUCGUAACGCCUAACGUUACGACUUCCGAGGAGACUGCCAGACUUGGGACCGGUUGAGGUCAGAGGUACUUGCGGGGUAGCGGUGAAAUGUUGUAAUCCCGCAAGGACCACCAGUGGCGAAGGCGUCUGACUUGAACGGCUCCGACGGUUAGGAACGAAACCCUGGGGCGCAAACCGGAUUAGAUACCCGGGUAGUCCAGGGCGUAAACGCUGCAGGCUUGGUGUUGGGAGUCCCGCGAGGGCGCUCAGUGCCGGAGCGAAAGUGUUAAGCCUGCCGCCUGGGGAGUACGGCCGCAAGGCUGAAACUUAAAGGAAUUGGCGGGGGAGCAC
rnacentral:rRNA from 1 species